GGUGGCCCUUAUUGCAGCUGCAGCUGCUUUUCUACAGUUGCUGCAUUCAAAAAGGAGCCCAGAGUUAACAAUUUUCCUUGAGGUCCCAUUCUGUUUGUUGUAACUGAUCUGCAACACUUUGGGGAAAGACAGUU
ensembl:snoRNA